rnacentral:tRNA from 1 species
GCCGAGGUGGUGGAACUGGUAGACACAAGGGACUUAAAAUCCCUCGGACGCAAGUCUGUACGGGUUCGACUCCCGUCCUCGGUACCA